AGCCUGCUCAUCUGCACUUUCAUCGCCACUCUCCUCAUCUGUGGCAAAUGUUAUACUCUUCCCUGCCCUCUUCUCUUGCUCCUUUGCCUUCUUUGCAGCCACGGUUUUCUGUCGAGAAGUCUUUUGUGUCCAAGAACCAGCUCGUUCCGAGGCUAAAGCCUUUCCUCUCAACGAAGAAUCUUGACUUUCAGGUUCUUGCCUC
rnacentral:lncRNA from 1 species